CUCCGGUGGAUCCCGCCGGACCUGACUGCUAUCGGAUUGGUACUAAGCCAUGCGAGUCGUUGUAGCAAUACAAGGCGGACGGCUCAGUAACACGUAGUCAACCUAACCUAUGGACGUGGAUAACCUCGGGAAACUGAGAAUAAACCGCGAUAGAUCAUUAUGCCUGGAAUGGCUUAUGGUUCAAACAAUUUAUUGCCGUAGGAUGGGACUGCGGCCUAUCAGCUUGUUGGUGAGGUAAUGGCCCACCAAGGCUAUAACAGGUACGGGCUCUGAGAGGAGAAGCCCGGAGAUGGGUACUGAGACACGGACCCAGGCCCUAUGGGGCGCAGCAGGCGAGAAACCUUAGCAAUGUGCGAAAGCACGACUAGGUUAAUCCGAGUGAUUUCUGUUGAAGAAAUCUUUUGUCAGUCGUAAAACCACAGACGAAUAAGGGGUGGGCAAGUCUGGUGUCAGCCGCCGCGGUAAUACCAGCACCUCGAGUGGUCAGGAGGUUUAUUGGGCCUAAAGCAUCCGUAGCCGGCUACGCAAGUCUCCGGUUAAAUCCAGCUGCUCAACAGAUGAGCUGCCGGAGAUACUACAUAGCUAGGGAGCGGGAGAGGUAGACGGUAUUCAGUGGGUAGGGGUAAAAUCCUCUGAUCCAUUGAGGACCACCAGUGGCGAAGGCGGUCUGCCAGAACACGUUCGACGGUGAGGGAUGAAAGCUGGGGGAGCAAACCGGAUUAGAUACCCGGGUAGUCCCAGCUGUAAACGAUGCAAACUCGGUGAUGCAUUGGCUUAUGGCCAAUGCAGUGCCGCAGGGAAGCCGUUAAGUUUGCCGCCUGGGAAGUACGGACGCAAGUCUGAAACUUAAAGGGAUUGGCGGGGGAGCA
rnacentral:rRNA from 1 species